rnacentral:misc_RNA from 1 species
GUGAAUCAUCAAAUCUUUGAACGCAAAUUGCGCCUUUUGCGGAAGGCAUGUCUGUUUGAGGGCACCAUUUAACAAAUAAUUUGCAGCUUUUUUUGCUGCACGCGUUUUUUAUCUUUCCAAGAAUUUUAAAUUUUUUGUGGCGCAUAAUGAACAGCGUGAAAGUUUUUUUCAGUUCGAGUGUAGUAAAAUCUUUGCUUGGGUUGUGAAAAAACAUAAUCGCGCUAUUGUUGUUGCAAUUUCUUGUUAUCCCUGCCCCAAUGCCACUCUUU